GUGCCAGCCGCCGCGGUAAUACGUAGGUGGCAAGCGUUAUCCGGCAUUAUUGGGCGUAAACCGCGCGCAGGUGGUUUCUUAAGUCUGAUGUGAAAGCCCACGGCUCAACCGUGGAGGGUCAUUGGAAACUGGGAGACUUGAGUGCAGAAGAGGAAAGUGGAAUUCCAUGUGUAGCGGUGAAAUGCGUAGAGAUAUGGAGGAACACCAGUGGGUAAGGCGACUUUCUGGUCGGUAACUGACACUGAGGCGCGAAAGCGUGGGGAGGAAAAAGGAGUAGAUACC
rnacentral:rRNA from 1 species